rnacentral:rRNA from 1 species
GAGUUUGAUCCUGGCUCAGAACGAACGCUGGCGGCGCGCCUAACACAUGCAAGUCGAACGAGAGGCCCUUCGGGGUAGUAAAGUGGCGGACGGGUGAGUAAUACAUGGGUAACCUGCCUUUGAGAGGGGAAUAACCAGCCGAAAGGCUGGCUAAUACCCCAUACGCUUCCGGUCCCUCGGGUAAGGAAGGAAAGCCAUAUCGUGGAUGUGGCACUCGAAGAUGGGCUCAUGGCCUAUCAGCUUGUUGGUGGGGUAAUGGCCUACCAAGGCAACGACGGGUAGCUGGUCUGAGAGGACGAUCAGCCACACUGGCACUGAGACACGGGCCAGACUCCUACGGGAGGCAGCAGUGAGGAAUAUUGCGCAAUGGGCGAAAGCCUGACGCAGCGACGCCGCGUGGGGGAAGAAGGUUUUCGGAUUGUAAACCCCUUUUAGGAGGAAAGAUGGGGUGGGCAACCACCCGGACGGUACCUCCAGAAAAAGCCACGGUAACUUCGUGCCAGCAGCCGCGGUAAUACGAAGGUGGCGAGCGUUGUCCGGAUUUACUGGGGCGUUAAAGAGUACGUAGGCGGUUCGGUAAGGCCCCUUGGGAAGCUACGGGCUUACCCGUAAGGUCGAGGGGGGACUUGGAAGGCUAAAGGGCGGGAAAAGGAAGCGCGGGGAAUUUCCCGGGUGUAACGGGUGAAAUGGCGUUAGAAUUUCGGGGAAAAAAGGCCGGUUGGCAAAGGCAGGAGCA